UAAAUUUUUAGGAACGUUUUCUAAGAAAGACAAUUUAUUUUUUUCCCUUUUUCUCUUUCAAAAACCUAAUCCCCGCCGCCAAGAUCUAAUUCUAAAUAUCACUGUUUACGGUGGCCCUAUAUGACGUUGAUUCGACUGGUCUGUUUCUUUGGAAGUCGAAUCCAAUCUUUGGAGGUGGUUCAACGGAAUUAGGAUCGGUCCAAAUCCCAGCUAUCUCUCUGUUUAAGUGAAUCUGAUUCUCUCUAGCCUUUGGUUCAGCUUCGGUGUGAAGUCAUCUCGACGGGAGAACAUAAAAGAUUAUCGUCCACUAUCUAAAGAAGAUGUUAUCGGGGCCAUGUUACCUCUCCCAGCAGAUGAAGAGUUCUUCCUCCCCGUACCUUUAAAUAAGUUCUUCAACUGGAGCAUAUCAGCAGGUAUAACCUUGUGUCUUCCCCUGGAUUGGCUUAAGCACUUCUCAAGAGGUAUUGGGUUGAGUUUCAAUUGAACAUUUAGCGGUAUAGAAGGGGUUGGUUUCUUCUUCCUUUGGCUGGUGCUCUUCUUCAUCUCGGUUCUACAAUUUCCUUGCUAAUCUGUUUGGCUGCAAUUUACCCAUUCACUCUCAAGUGCGUUUGUUUGUUGUUUGUUCUCGGACUCUUCUUCAUCUGCGGAAGAAGAUUUCAUGCGUCGUUGUCUUCCUGUCUUGGAGUCCUAGACUGAUUUGGUUUUUAGAGAUGAAUUUUUAUUAGCUUUGCAGUGUUUGUUGGGUUUGGUUUAAUAUUUAGUUUGUAAGAUUUCUUUGGUUGUUUAAGUUUCUGGGGGUUUCUCUGUAUCCGCCGGCUCUACCUCCAAAUGAAUUUUGAUCCUUUUCA